GAACCUGCGGAAGGAUCAUUACUGAGAGGGGUUUUCGGACCCCGGGGGCUUCGGCCCUCAUCUCUUCACCCUAUGUUUACGUACCUUCGUUGCUUUGGCGGGUCUUGGGGCUCGCCCCCUACCGGCUACUGGCCUAGUGCCCCGGCCGGUCCGUGCCCGCCUGAGGCCCAUCAAAUUCUGUUCAUCAGUGACGUCCGAGCAAAAACACAAUAGUAAAAACUUUCAACAACGGAUCUCUUGGUUCUGGCAUCGAUGAAGAACGCAGCGAAAUGCGAUAAGUAAUGUGAAUUGCAGAAUUCAGUGAAUCAUCGAAUCUUUGAACGCACAUUGCGCCCCUCGGUAUUCCGGGGGGCAUGCCUGUUCGAGCGUCAUUGCACCCCUCAAGCUUAGCUUGGUAUUGGGUCUUCGCCCCCGUGGCGGGCCCGAAAGUCAGUGGCGGUUCGGCGCGACUUCGAGCGUAGUAAAUCUUCUCCCGCUUUGGAAGCUCGCGCUGCGGCCGGCCAUAAACGCCCAAAUCUUUCAAUGAUUGACCUCGGAUCAGGUAGGGAUACCCGCUGAACUUAA
rnacentral:rRNA from 1 species